AUCUAUGGCUAUACUACCCUGAACACAUCUAACAUAGCCUAAUGUCUGAUUUCUAAAGCUAAUCUGAGUGAGGUCUGGUAAGUACUUGCAUGGGAGACUGCUUGGGAAUACUAGAUGUUGUAGGCU
rnacentral:rRNA from 1 species